GUGGCCGGAGCCUCUCCAGGCCUCGCUCUCCUCAUCUGUAAAGCGAGGGGCGUGCUCUCAGGAGGCCCAGGGGCUGGCUCCGCGUGGACCCCACACCCUUCAAAAGCCCGCACGCGCGGGUUGGCCUUCCCGGGGCAUAAAGAGAGGAGCCCAGGACCCGCUGCAAGGUGGGAGGGGAAAGCCAAGAUCAGCGGAUGGACUGGCCCGCACUUAAAUCCAGCGGCUCCUGCAGUGACCUGGGAAAGCCACCUAGUGCCUCUGACUUCCAGUUUCCUCUGCUAGUAGAUGGCUUCUUAAGGUCAAGCUCGUGUUGUCUAGCACUUUGCCCAGAACUCAGAAUCCCUUCUUCAGAGGAAAAGAAGCGAGCCUGCCACAGAGCUUAUUUAUGAAACAAACGCAGAGCUAUUUGGAGCAACCGUCUCCAGGAACCCCUCCAGCCCACCCUGUGUCACAGGCAUCAAGCCUGCGGGGAGGAGGCGUCUGGAAGGUGAACCUGCACACAGGGCGGUGUGAGAGGAGCUCCCCCUUUGCUUCUUGUUCCUCCACCCGCCUGAGGAGGGAAAACUGAAGACGCAAGAGAGAGCAGAGGAGGAGACUAAGCAUUUUCUUUUCAAUUAACUAUGUUCUGACCACACAA